rnacentral:lncRNA from 1 species
CACAUCCCGGCUCAGCAGCGCCGCCCCUGGCCGCCAGCGUCCCGGAGGGUCGCGCCCCGAGCCACGCCCGAGUGCCCUGGCGCGGGAGCCCAACUCGCGCGAAAGAUGUAGCCAGCACCAUAUCUUCCUGCAUGCCACCAUGUUCCAAGCCAUGAUGAUAAUGGACUGAACCUCUGAAACUUAAAAUAAAUGGCAGGUUUUGUAUUAGAAGGAGAAGAAGGAAGAGGAGGAAGAAGAAAAGAAAAACAAACAUCAACUUGACAAAUAAAUACACCACCACUGACCUGACUCCCAGCUUGUAAUCUACUUUUGUGUGUUGUUUUACUUCAUUCCUUAAAGUUGUCUAUUAUAUUCAUUGAAAUCUUUAUGAAAUAUUUUCAGAGAUUUCAUAUUUGCCGAGACACUAUCCUCCUUCAUGUGAUACUAACUUUUAAUAAAGACAGCAUUUCUUAUUGCUCCAUCCUAUUGAGUGCUCUUGACAUUUAUUUCAAGCAUCAAUUGUUACCAAUA